rnacentral:rRNA from 1 species
AGUGAACGCUGGCGGUAGGCCUAACACAUGCAAGUCGAACGGCAGCACAGUAAGAGCUUGCUCUUACGGGUGGCGAGUGGCGGACGGGUGAGGAAUACAUCGGAAUCUACUUUUUCGUGGGGGAUAACGUAGGGAAACUUACGCUAAUACCGCAUACGACCUACGGGUGAAAGCAGGGGAUCUUCGGACCUUGCGCGAUUGAAUGAGCCGAUGUCGGAUUAGCUAGUUGGCGGGGUAAAGGCCCACCAAGGCGACGAUCCGUAGCUGGUCUGAGAGGAUGAUCAGCAACACUGGAACUGAGACACGGACCAGACUCCUACGGGAGGGAGCAGUGGGGAAUAUUGGACAAUGGGCGCAAGCCUGAUCCAGCCAUACCGCGUGGGUGAAGAAGGCCUUCGGGUUGUAAAGCCCUUUUGUUGGGAAAGAAAAGCAGCAGGUUAAUACCCCGCUGUUCUGACGGUACCCAAAGAAUAAGCACCGGCUAACUUCGUG